rnacentral:tRNA from 6 species
CGGAGUGUAGUAUAGAGGCAGUACACACCCUUCGGGAGGGUGAAGCCUGAGUUCGAUUCUCGGCACUCCGA